UACGUAGGGGGCAAGCGUUGUCCGGAUUUACUGGGCGUAAAGCGUGCGUAGGCGGUCCGCAAAGUCUGAUGUGAAAGCCCCGGGCUCAACCUGGGAACUGCAUUGGAAACUAACGGGCUCGAGUGUGGCAGAGGGGGGUGGAAUUCCACGUGUAGCAGUGAAAUGCGUAGAGAUGUGGAGGAACACCGAUGGCGAAGGCAGCCCCCUGGGCUAACACUGACGCUCAGGCACGAAAGCGUGGGGAGCAAACAGG
rnacentral:rRNA from 1 species